AGUGGUAUGGUAGGAAUUUGUCUAUGAAGAUCUGUCGGACAUAUGUUGCUACUAUGGAAGCAUUAGAACUACUAUGAAUACAUGUUCUCAAUGCAAGGAUAUCCCUUAAGUUCAAGAUUCCAUGAUCUAUGGCCCAUGGAUUAGAGCAUCUCGGGUAACUAUUGAUUCCUUUAGGCAGCCUAUAGAUAUGCGAUCCUUUGUGUCUUCUUCGAUGGCUACUUCAGGUAACAUUUAGACUACUCCUAAGAAGGUUGCCU
rnacentral:lncRNA from 1 species